GACGAACCGAGCGAACGUUGUUCGGAAUCACGUGGCUUAAAGGGCGCGUAGGCGGGUGCUCAAGUCCGGGGUGAAAUCCUCCAGCUCAACUGGAGAACUGCCUCGGAUACUGGGUGCCUCGAGGGUGGUAGGGGUAUGCGGAACUAUCGGUGGAGCGGUGAAAUGCGUUGAUAUCGAUAGGAACUCCGGUGGCGAAGGCGGCAUACUGGACCACAUCUGACGCUGAGGCGCGAAAGCCAGGGGAGCAAAACAGGG
rnacentral:rRNA from 1 species